UGGGGAAUUUUUGGCAAUGGGGGAAACCCUGACCAAGCAACGCCGCGUGGAUGAUGAAGUAUCUUGGUACGUAAAAUCCUUUCGACGGGGACGAAACCGCAAGGUUGACGGUACCCGUAGAAGAAGCCCCGGCUAACUCCGUGCCAGCAGCCGCGGUAAUACGGGGGGGGCAAGCGUUGUUCGGAAUUACUGGGCGUAAAGGGCGCGUAGGCGGCUCGCUAAGUCGGAUGUGAAAACUCUGGGCUCAACCCAGAGCCUGCAUUCGAAACUGACGGGCUCGAGUUCUGGAGGGGAAAGCGGAAUUCCUGGUGUAGCGGUGAAAUGCGUAGAUAUCAGGAGGAACACCGGUGGCGAAGGCGGCUUUCUGGACAGAAACUGACGCUGAUGCGCGAAAGCUAGGGGAGCAAACAGGAUUAGAUACCCCCGUAGUCC
rnacentral:rRNA from 1 species